UACAGAGGGCGCAAGCGUUGUUCGGAAUCACUGGGCGUAAAGGGCGCGUAGGCGGCCCGCCAAGUCCCGUGUGAAAGCCCCCGGCUCAACCGGGGAACGGCGCGGGAAACUAGCAGGCUUGAGUGCGGGAGAGGGAAGCGGAAUUCCGGGUGUAGCGGUGAAAUGCGCAGAUAUCCGGAGGAACACCGGUGGCGAAGGCGGGUUCCUGGACCGACACUGACGCUGAGGCGCGAAAGCUAGGGGAGCAAACGGG
rnacentral:rRNA from 1 species